GAUGAACGCUGGCUACAGGCUUAACACAUGCAAGUCGAGGGGAAACGACGGGGAAGCUUGCUUCCCCGGGCGUCGACCGGCGCACGGGUGAGUAACGCGUAUCCAACCUGCCUCUGACUGAGGGAUAACCCGUCGAAAGUCGGCCUAAUACCUCAUGGCAUCGUCUGCGGGCAUCCAACGACGAUUAAAGAUUUCAUCGGUCAGAGAUGGGGAUGCGUCUGAUUAGCUUGUUGGCGGGGUAACGGCCCACCAAGGCGACGAUCAGUAGGGGUUCUGAGAGGAAGGGCCCCCACAGGGGAACUGAGACACGGGCCAAAGUCCUACGGGAGGCAGCAGUGAGGAAUAUUGGUCAAGGGGAGAGAGCCUGAACCAGCCAAGUAGCGUGCAGGAUGACGGCCCUAGGGGUUGUAAACUGCUGUUAUGCGGGGAUAAAGUGAGGGACGUGUCCUUCAUUGCAGGUACCGCAUGAAUAAGGACCGGCUAAUUCCGUG
rnacentral:rRNA from 1 species